UACGGGGGGGGCAAGCGUUGUUCGGAAUUACUGGGCGUAAAGGGCUCGUAGGCGGCCAACUAAGUCCGACGUGAAAUCCCCAGGCUUAACCUGGGAACUGCGUCGGAUACUGGUUGGCUUGAAUCCGGGAGAGGGAUGCGGAAUUCCAGGUGUAGCGGUGAAAUGCGCAGAUAUCAGGAGGAACACCGGUGGCGAAGGCGGGUCUCUGGGCAACAACGUGACGCUGAGGAGCGAAAGCGUGGGGAGCGAACAGG
rnacentral:rRNA from 1 species